CUGCAGUUUCCAUUCAUGGCCCUACUUAUUUCAGGUAUCAUUCCUAUUUGUGGGUUUUAGUUUUGUUAGUCAAGAAGUGGACCAGGCAUGCAACUGAUUAAGCCCAUUAAGGGUGUGCUUAUGUCUGCAAACCAACCGCUGCCUAUAAAUAGGAAUAACUGGAAAGUGUAAUCAGUAUAUGGGACUUUUGGAAACUGAGAAAGCGGUGUAAGGAGUGGAUCCAAAGCAGUGUAUUAGUUCCCAAGGAGCUUCUCCCUAGUUUCAUUAAAUAAAAAACUCAUUCUUUCUCGCUGUUAAGAUACCAGUUCUAUCAAAAUAUCAAAUCAAGCAUACACAUCAGCCUUCCAAAAUAAAUGAACAGGUGAAUUCUACAGGGUAUAGGACGGUCCCUUGCACUAUUUUCUGAGUGGAGACGAGGGAGGAGAGGGGAAGAGAGGUACAUUUCUCAGGAUUAGGCAAAGAUCGUCGUGGACAUGGAUGGAUUCAAGCAUCUCGAUCUCCAGCAGUGUGAGAAAUUUAAGGAAUUUGGAGCACCUGAGUUUCAUCAUGACUGCGCGAAGGAACUCGAAAUUCAUAGUGAGUUCAAAGUCUGCUAGGUGGCCCUAUUCAUAACACGUGUGAAAGGUAAGUGUGCAAAUCACUAUUACAAAAAGUAGUUUUAACAUCGGCUUAUUAACAUCGGUUUUUUACAAAACCGAUGUUAAGUUAAACGCGGUGGC